UACUUGGCUAAGUCCCUCUGGGAAAAGAAUGUGUGCACCAUUUUGAUUUAAACUUGCAGUUCUUUUACAGGCACUGUACAGUAAUAGAGGUAUUGGAAAACAGCCUUAUUUAAGCAAGAGUCUACUUGAAACACUACCUCAAUAUUGACCAGCAACUUGAAGGACCCCUUGGAUCUAGAGAAGAUUAUCCUCAGGAGAUGCAGACUUUGCUAUAUUAUGACAAG
rnacentral:lncRNA from 1 species